rnacentral:tRNA from 15 species
GGGCGCAUAGCUCAGCUGGGAGAGCACCUGCCUUACAAGCAGGGGGUCACAGGUUCGAUCCCUGUUGUGCCCACCA